rnacentral:rRNA from 1 species
UUGACCUCGGAUCAGGCAGGGAUACCCGCUGAACUUAAGCAUAUCAAUAAGCGGAGGAAAAGAAACCAACAGGGAUUGCCUCAGUAACGGCGAGUGAAGCGGCAACAGCUCAAAUUUGAAAUCUGGCUCUUUUAGGGUCCGAGUUGUAAUUUGUAGAGGAUGCUUCGGCGUCGGCUCCGGUCUAAGUUCCUUGGAACAGGACGUCAUAGAGGGUGAGAAUCCCGUAUGUGAUCGGUUGCCUUGCCAUGUGAAGCUCCUUCGACGAGUCGAGUGUUUGGAAUGCAGCUCUAAAUGGGAGGUAAAUUCUUCUAAGCUAAUACUGCC